CUCCGAGAAAUCUGGCCUCAGGAACUACGUCACGGCUACGUAACGAACGAAUGCUCUCAUCAAACGCCAGAGGACGCAGGCGCAAAAAAAGAAAAUGUUGUAAUGAAUUCUGCUCAAUCGCUUUACAAAAUAAUAAUUAUACACCCAAAUUUGGCGUGUUUCUGAUACAUAAGAACAGAAUUUAUCGAGAACACCUUCCGUGCUUUUUGUUCUUCAUUCGUACUGCCAUCAACACCAAUCACCAUUCGUCCAUGGAGAAGAAAUCAACACCAGCGGCGUGCCAGCGGGAACGUCUCGUGAACGUCGACUGCGGCGGUGUUCUUGUGUGUGAGAAAGACCGUGCUGAUGCCGUGCCGUCCGGCGGUCCAAGCUACGGCAGCUACUGCAGUGUGUCGUGGUGCUUUGACAACGGCAGAACCCAGAAGAAGCCUAUCUUGACUUGCAAUAAAAACAUUGCGGAAACUCUGUCUCUUUGAUA